GACGUAGGGCGCGAGCGUUGUCCGGAUUUACUGGGCGUAAAGAGCUCGUAGGCGGCUCGUUGCGUCGGCUGUGAAAACCCGCAGCUCAACUGUGGGCUUGCAGCUGAUACGGGCGGGCUGGAGUUCGGUAGGGGAGACUGGAAUUCCUGGUGUAGCGGUGAAAUGCGCAGAUAUCAGGAGGAACACCGGUGGCGAAGGCGGGUCUCUGGGCCGAUACUGACGCUGAGGAGCGAAAGCGUGGGGAGCGAACAGG
rnacentral:rRNA from 1 species